AUUGAACGCUGGCGGCAGGCCUAACACAUGCAAGUCGAGCGAGCGGCGGACGGGUGAGUAAUGUCUGGGAAACUGCCUGAUGGAGGGGGAUAACUACUGGAAACGGUAGCUAAUACCGCAUACCAUCAGAUGUGCCCAGAUGGGAUUAGUUAGUAGGUGGGGUAACGGCUCACCUAGGCGACGAUCCCUAGCUGGUCUGAGAGGAUGACCAGCCACACUGGACCUGAGACAAGGACCAGACUCCUACGUGAGGCGGCAGUGGGGAAGAUUGAAGGAUGGGCGCAAGCCUGAUGCAGCCAGGCCGCGUGUGUGAAGAAGGCCUUCGGGUUGUAAGACACUUUCGGCGGGGAGGCGUUACCCGCAGAGGAAGCACCGGCUAACACCGUGCCAGCGGCCGCGGUAAUAC
rnacentral:rRNA from 1 species